UUCCUGUCAUAAGUUAAAAAGGUCAAUUGUUCGGCGAUAAUAUAUCAAUUUUUUAUGAUUACCUUUAUUUAACAAAAUCAACUUAUUUACAAAAGCUGCUAUCUCGAUAAUUAACAGACUCUCUAUCAUCGCCCGGUACUCUCGAACGACAGCUUUGGUCGGUCGGUUACACGGAAACAAAAACGUUCUGGAAAAAAAUGUGCUUGUGACAAAUUGAAAAAACAAUAGGAGUGUUUCGUACUACAAUAGAUAAAAGAGAGUGAAAGUGAGUGGGUGAGUGAGUGAGUGAGUGACUGAGAGAGAGAGAGAGAGAGAGAGAGAGAGAGAGAGAGAGAUCACAUUGGCAGAAAGAGGAGCGAAGAGAUUGACGAAGGGCAAUCACGAACCGACUGGAGGUCGAGAGUGACAGGCGAAUUGUACUAGAUAUAAAAAAGAAAAGAAAAUAUGUGAGAGAGAGAGAGAGAGAGAGAGAGAGAGAAAACCAGUAUACGGUUAGUCGUAUUCCUCUUCCCGUGUUAUCGUCGCGUCGAUUACUUUGUGCACCGUUCGACCCCUUUCGCAGGGCACGAGACCAGCAAAGAUCGACCAGCACCAUCAUCGUUCGGUAAACCAAUCAGCAUCAGUUUACUUGCAACGCAAAUAUUUUUGCGUUUCUCCCCUCUUUUUUCAUUAUUUUCUCUUCAAAUAACGUAAUAAAGUAUUAUGGUCAGAACAACGUAUUUAAUAUUAGCUAAAAUCGUUUGCCCGGUGCUACCAAGCGUCGUCAUAUCGUCGACGUCCUCCUCGUUCGAUGUAUUUUUUGUGAUGUUACUCCUUCGAAAUUCCAUACUUGACAUCGUACGAGUUUCUUCUGGCGAUCUCUUCGAUCUUUCCACCAACGUGAGUCUUGUAUUUUUUCGAGAUUUCAACAGGGGUAGAUCUAGCGAGGCUGAUUGUUCGUUUCUUUCGAGUCUUGUCGUUUUAUCGGACGAACGUAUUUCGGCAGGAAUCAGUGGUGGAAGUUCUCCUUUGAAUCUUCCAAAUUGUGGUGUCCUGCUCAACACGUCCGAAGUCAGUCGAGUCUUAGAACGAUCUUCGAUCUCCGAAAUAGACCUGGCUAAUGAGGAAUCCUUUACCUUUUUACCAUCGUAAGUUAUUAAAACUCCAGCAGUUGCUGAUUCAGCCUCUGAUCUAGCUGGAGGUAAGUAAUAGGACUGAAGGCCAUCGGCAGCCAUUUGCAUAUCGUCUAAUUCGUCUAAAGCUGGUUUCGAAGAAUGAUUUACGUUCGUUGGGUUAGGUUUCUUCUUUUGUUUUUUUGAUUUAUCGGAUGCUGGGUUCAUGCUUGGCGAAGGUAAAAAUACUGGCUCGAAAUUAUCGCUUGAUAAUUGAUCGGAAAAUGUUGAUUCUUUUAUCGUUUCUUCGUAUUCCUGAUCGCUAUCUGAUAUUCGUUUUUCAAGCAAGUCUCGGGAUGGAUCAAUUAUAGGUUUGAAGCCACCCUCGAUGACAAUGGAGUCUGGAUUGAAUCCAGUGUUACGAGCUGGUUUCAGAGAUGUCAUUAGAUUCCCCGAAAUAUCCAUGACAGCUGCUUCGGAUACUUUAGCUUCUAAUUUGGUACGUUGUUUUGGGUCGAGUUUCAUCAGCUUGACAAUAUUUCCGUAUGAGACUUUUUCUGAGGUUGGUACCUUGUAAACAGCUUUUUUACGUUCCAUGAAUAUCGAUCUUGAAGGUGGUAAGGCGAAUGUGGGUGAGUUAAUUGUAUGAGAACUCUGUAAAAUGGGUCGACGCAUCAAAACAGGUCUUCGUACGAUCAUCACUUGGGCUCUUUGCUGCUCCGGUUGAUGCUGAUGGUAAUGAAGUAGAUGAUGGAGAUGAUGGUGAUCAGGCGCGUAAUGAUGCGACGUUGGUCUGGAAUAUACGAUCUGCGUGGUGGGUAGAGUGUAAGCGAAUUUCAUCCCGUGGCUCAGUGGUCUUGAAUUAUCUGCAACGAGGUUAGACAAUUGAUGGUUAGAGGACUGUCGGAUUUCUUGAUCGAUCUCCGUGAACUGAGGUCUGCUGGGAUACGAGGAUAGUGCCGUGGACGUGAUCGUGGCCGAGGUCGAGGAAAUUGAGGUUGGCCUGUUAAUGGUGCCAAUUCCUCCUAACUCGCUAUAAAUUGAGCUAGCUGUUUGUUGUUGCUUCUGCUGUUGUUGUUGACGUUGCAGAGCUUCCUCGUCGAGGUGCGCGUGACGAUAGUUCUCCUUCACGCGUACCUCGUAACGAUGAGGAAUGAUCCCAUGAUUGGACCUCGGCCCGUAGGCAUCCUCAUGUAUGGCUGAUGUUCGAAAGCGUUCGUAAUUGUUAUGAUUAGCGUUCGUUAGUAGUUGCGCGUAGGACGUGCUUAGCUUGCCAGAGUUAGUCGCCGUAUGAUGGGGGUAACGAAGACCAUGUUCCCGAUGAUGAGGAUGAUGAAGAUGCUGCUGAAGGAACUCGGCCGUUGGCGUUACCUUGCUCGAGACUCGAAUGCUCGGACUGACAUCUAAAUCCUCGAUGAGCUCAGGAUGACCAUUCUGUUCCACAUAAACCUCAUGGUUCUCGCUGGCUGAACCCUCAUCGCAGUUGUCAUGGACGUUAAUCUUCCAGCCCAGAUAGCGAUGAGUGAAACACUAAAAUUACGUCACAUGAUCGGAUCAGAACUGUUCAAGUUAUGUUACCGAUAUACAUAUAGUUUCCUACUUGAUAAUAGACUGUAUCUGGUGUAUUCUCAUCGGGAGUCCAUUCAACAAUUCCUGGUUCACCAUGAUCACAUUCCAGAGUCAACGUUCGUUGAUAAGCACCGAAAGAUGUGAAUUCAUCGGCCGGAGGUUGUUUCUGAUCGGGUACCCAAUAACAAAAUCGUCCAACUCCGGUAGGUCGAAUUGAUCCCCGUUGUCUACGUACUCCAGCGAAUAUUUUAAUUUUCUGAAAUAAGUAUUUAUCAUUAUCUUACUAAUUAAUGUAGAUAAUAGUCGUUGUAUAUUGGACACAUCUACUUACUGCUUUUUCUUCUGGAGUUUUAUGUUGAUAACCACCGACUGGAUCAUCCGUGAUAUAAAAUGGAUGAUAACGUGCAGGUGUAUCGGCAUUCUGUCCACCUUCAACGACAAAGGUAUACUUCUUUCCACGGACUACAUUUAUCUCCGGAAUUAAAAGACCAUUUAUAUACCAAGAAAUUCCCCAGCCAACAUGACCUAUAAAGGAAAAAUGAGUAUCAUCGUUUCGGAACAUCAAUGAUCAAGAUACAUUUCUGAAGGAUAAAUUGCUAACCUGUAAUAGCAGGAUAUCCAUGUUUUCCACCGGUUGGUCCCAUUUGAGCAUAAAAGACACCAUCUUCUGGUUCAUAACAUUGUAUCGGAGGAAUCUCCCAAGCAUCAUUUGUAGGUGCUGGUGCUGGAGUAGCAGGAACCCGUUGAGGUCUUCUUGUAGUUACCGCGAGUUGCUGUUAAAAUAAUAUUGUUAUCAAGAAAAAAUCAUAAUAAAAAACAAAAUAAUCAAACUUACCUGAUUACUAUUUGCGUUAUUAUCAUUGUCAAUAUAAGUAUCUGGUUGUUCCUGAUCAGGAAUGGGACAAUUCCAAGCAGGCGGUCUACCGAAUUCGAUGAAACGAUCAGUCUUCAAGUAGUCGCUAUGGAAACUAACCUCCUGUCUCUCGUUCAAUGGACCAACUGCCCAGAUGAUGGCCUGUGAUCUGUUCGUGAGAACCUGACGAUCCAGCUCAUCACUGGCUUUCAAUGGUCUCUGAUAGGUCACAAUGCUGUACCCAUUGACUAAAGCUGCAUUCAACAAUCGAACCGAGACAACUUCCUCGUCCACCGGAACAUUGUGAUUUCGCGUCUAGGAAGUAAUCGAUAGCGUAUCCUUGAAGAGUUUGUUUGUCUACCCAGGCCACCACGACGUCUCCACCGAUCAUAACGCUUCUCUCCGGAUUUGCCGAUAAGCCGAAGGCCAUGUAUUGUCCAGCAUCUAUUGACGUUAAAGAGAAACGAUCAAUACAAUAAUACACCGUUUUUACCGGAAACAAAGUCCGUAAUUGCAUCGCAAACGAGUUGAACACUCAGUGUCGUAAAAAGAAAAGGCCGUAGCGAUUUUUCGAAGGAAAUUAUUGGGAAUGUGUGAAACAGAUAUCGGACCAAGUGAUGAAACAAAAAUGGGAGCGUGGAUAAAUGGCAAGAGAACGAUUAAAGUGCCGCAAUGGUCGUAAAAUCUUUUUCUCUUUUUUAUUUCUUCUCUCUUUUUCUUUUUCUUUUUCCCUCGGUGAGUAUUUUUUUUUUUACAGAAGUGAGAAAGAAAAAUAGGAAGAGAAAGAGUACGUAAAUUUGUAAUGUAUUUGCUUGGAAAGAAAAAUUUUUUCUCUGCAACGAUAUUUGUAUAGAGAAAUCAAACGAUAUAAACUUCUUAAUUAGAGAAAAUUCGUAUCUAUCUGUAACUAAAAAUUUCGAAAUUUACGAAUUAGUUUCGUAAAUCGAUAUUAUCGUUUUCUUCAAAUACACGACGAUUUAAAUCAUUCUCUCGGCAUAAAAAAAAAAAAUAUUUAUAUCUUUUCUUCUGAAAAAUUUCUUUCCUUCUUCUUAAAAUUUUCAAUCAAAAAGAGUAAAUUUAGCGCAAAGCUGUUAAACACGGGUACGGGCGGAUGCGAAUGAGAAGGGAAUGAAACUUUCGGUUCACUCCAUUGUGAAAUUCACGGAUACGACAGCUCGAAAUUAUG